GGCAGUGGUAGCUCAGUGGUUAAUAUGUUGGUCUACUGCUCAAAAGGUCAUGAGUUCAAGCCCCAGCACUGCCA